rnacentral:rRNA from 1 species
CAAGGCGACGAUCCCUAGCUGGUCUGAGAGGAUGACCAGCCACACUGGAACUGAGACACGGUCCAGACUCCUACGGGAGGCAGCAGUGGGGAAUAUUGCACAAUGGGCGCAAGCCUGAUGCAGCCAUGCCGCGUGUAUGAAGAAGGCCUUCGGGUUGUAAAGUACUUUCAGCGGGGAGGAAGGUGUUGUGGUUAAUAACCGCAGCAAUUGACGUUACCCGCAGAAGAAGCACCGGCUAACUCCGUGCCAGCAGCCGCGGUAAUACGGAGGGUGCAAGCGUUAAUCGGAAUUACUGGGCGUAAAGCGCACGCAGGCGGUCUGUCAAGUCGGAUGUGAAAUCCCCGGGCUCAACCUGGGAACUGCAUUCGAAACUGGCAGGCUUGAGUCUUGUAGAGGGGGGUAGAAUUCCAGGUGUAGCGGUGAAAUGCGUAGAGAUCUGGAGGAAUACCGGUGGCGAAGGCGGCCCCCUGGACAAAGACUGACGCUCAGGUGCGAAAGCGUGGGGAGCAAA